AAGAAGUUGAAAAAUUGUACAAAAACCUCAGUAUACUGUACAGUUAACUCUGGCUGUGGUAAGAACACAGUAUAAUUUUCAAUGCAGAUGAAACAAGACUGCAACUAAUUCUUGAACUAGACAAGAGAUUCUAUCAUACCCCCGAAAAUGUAAAAAACCAAAUUAUCAGACAAAAUAAAUGCAGCACCCUGACAUUCAGGCAUUUAAUAACUCUGUGUUAAGAAAUGAGGUGCUUUCAAACUAUGAUACCUCCAGUGCUAAAGUGCGCAAUCAAUGGAGCAAAGAAGUAGGAACCACAAACUUACGAAAGCCACACCCAAGAGCAUCCAGUAGUCUGCUGCAUCUCUAAGCAUCAUAUACUAAAG